rnacentral:rRNA from 1 species
AUUGAACGCUGGCGGCAUGCCUUACACAUGCAAGUCGAACGGCAGCACGGGUGCUUGCACCUGGUGGCGAGUGGCGAGCGGGUGAGUAAUACAUCGGAACAUGUCCUGUAGUGGGGGAUAGCCCGGCGAAAGCCGGAUUAAUACCGCAUACGAUCCACGGAUGAAAGCGGGGGACCUUCGGGCCUCGCGCUAUAGGGUUGGCCGAUGGCUGAUUAGCUAGUUGGUGGGGUAAAGGCCUACCAAGGCGACGAUCAGUAGCUGGUCUGAGAGGACGACCAGCCACACUGGGACUGAGACACGGCCCAGACUCCUACGGGAGGCAGCAGUGGGGAAUUUUGGACAAUGGGCGAAAGCCUGAUCCAGCAAUGCCGCGUGUGUGAAGAAGGCCUUCGGGUUGUAAAGCACUUUUGUCCGGAAAGAAAUCCUUGGCUCUAAUACAGUCGGGGGAUGACGGUACCGGAAGAAUAAGCACCGGCUAACUACGU